CGGCUGGUGGUGAUGGAACAGAACCUGUUCUAAAAGAGGAAACGGCUGGUGGUGAUGGAACAGAACCUUUUCUAAAAGAGGAAACGGCUGGUGGUGAUAGAACAGAACCUGUUCUGAAAGAGGAAAUGGCUAGUGGUGAUGGAACAGAACCUGUUCUAAAAGAGGAAACGGCUGGUGGUGAUGGAACAGAACCUGUUCUAAAAGAGGAAACGGCUGGUGGUGAUGGAACAGAACCUGUUCUAAAACAGGAAAUGGCUAGUGGUGAUGGAACAGAACCUGUUCUAAAAGAGGAAACGGCUGGUGGUGAUGGAACAGAACCUGUUCUAAAAGAGGAAACGGCUGGUGGUGAUGGAACAGAACCUGUUCUAAAAGAGGAAACGGCUGGUGGUGAUGGAACAGAACCUGUUCUAAAAGAGGAAAUGGCUAGUGGUGAUGGACUGAGGAGAUGCAUCUGAAAAGUUCUAAAACAGGAACUGUGUGUGUGUGUGUGUGUGUGUGUGUCGACUGAUUAUGGACAGCUGUGAGAGUCUAGGUUGGAACCCUGGAGGUAGAAACAACCCUUCUCUCUGACUCUGAACUCAACUCCCAGAAUGAGUCUAGACAGACAGACGGAGGGAACCGGCCCCAUGAUACAAGAGACUGGACUCAUGAACCACACAGACAGAUUGACAUAUGGAUAUUAUCUCCUGUUUGUAGCCACUAUCUCCAUUUCAAAGAGAUCUACUGAAGAGACUAUUACAGAGAGAGAGAGAAACCAUACAUUUCCUUUAUUUGUGACUAUUGGGCCGAGCAGAACCAAGGAUAGCAUGUGUGUUUCAGCUGCUGGUUCUGUUUCGGUUUACAGAUGCUGAAAUUGCCCAUAAGCUAUUUUUUGAAUACACAAACCUUCUCAUUAAAAAACACACACACACACACACACACACACAAACACACACACACACACAUAAUGCUCAUCAUGUAGGAAUUGGAUCCCAGGAAAGUAUUCUGCCAUCUUGACAGAUACCUGAACAAGGAACAUGUUUACUUCACCUGUGUGUUUUGUGUACCUCCUAAAGACAUAUAAAUAUCAUUUUUAAUGUGGACAUUUCAGACAUUGGACAGAAUAGCACAAAAAGAACCCUGUAAGAUGUUGACCACGUUAAGCUCAAUAUGUAUUCAUUCUAUGCUAAGUUUUCUGUUCUGCUGAUGCCUAACCGUGAGUUCAUAACACUGAACUCAGAAGUGCAUCUCGAUUUACAUGUUUUGUGUCUUUCUGUUCUUGAGAAAAGGUGUGAUGCUUUAGAAACACACUGUGAUUGUCAGUCUGUAGGAUAUGUCUAUGGUGUUGGUUUAGGUGAGUCUUUGGUUCAAUUGAAAUAUUGGUCCUUGUGUAUCUGAAGAAGCUGCAGUGUUCAGAACGACCUGCAGGGGUCUCCCUCCCACUGAGAAACACUAGAUCUGUCCUAUAGAACAGGACUGGCCAGUAUUCUAAAAGAGGGCCGGUGUGGGUGCAGGCUUUUGCCCCAGCCAAGCAGUAACACACCUGAUUCUAUAUCUGGUGGAUGUUAUCGUUGGAUGCUGAUGCAACACCACACACAUCUUUAAAUGCAGUGUUAACCUACAGCAGGGUUUCCCAGUGGUGUAGUAGGAGCUACACGGAGGUAUACACCCUAAACCCCACAGAUGUUUAAACAGAGGUGUAGGAGGUAUACGCUCUAAACCCCACAGAGGUUUAAACAGUGGUGUAGUAGGAGCUACACGGAGGUAUACGCCCUAAACCCCACAGAGGUUUAAACAGUGGUGUAGUAGGAGCUACACGAAGGUAUACACCCUAAACCCCACAGAGGUUUAAACAGAGGUGUAGGAGGUAUACACCCUAAACCCCACAGAGGUUUAAACAGAGGUGUAGGAGGUAUACACCCUAAACCCCACAGAGGUUUAAACAGUGGUGUAGGAGGUAUACACCCUAAACCCCACAGAGGUUUAAACAGUGGUGUAGUAGGAGCUACACAGAGGUAUACACCCUAAACCCCACAGAGGUUUAAACAGUGGUGUAGUAGGAGCUACACAGAGGUAUACACCCUAAACCCCACAGAGGUUUAAACAGUGGUGUAGUAGGAGCUACACAGAGGUAUACACCCUAAACCACACAGAGGUUUAAACAGAGGUGUAGGAGGUAUACACCCUAAACCCCACUGAGGUUUAAACAGUGGUGUAGUAGGAGCUACACAGAGGUAUACACCCUAAACCCCACUGAGGUUUAAACAGAGGUGUAGGAGGUAUACGCUCUAAACCCCACAGAGGUUUAAACAGUGGUGUAGUAGGAGCUACACAGAGGUAUACGCUCUAAACCCCACUGAGGUUUAAACAGUGGUGUAGUAGGAGCUACACAGAGGUAUACACCCUAAACCCCACUGAGGUUUAAACAGAGGUGUAGGAGGUAUACGCUCUAAACCCCACAGAGGUUUAAACAGUGGUGUAGUAGGAGCUACACAGAGGUAUACGCUCUAAACCCCACUGAGGUUUAAACAGUGGUGUAGUAGGAGCUACACAGAGGUAUACACCCUAAACCCCACUGAGGUUUAAACAGUGGUGUAGUAGGAGCUGCACGGAGGUACAGUGCCUUGCGAAAGUAUUCGGCCCCCUUGAACUUUGCGACCUUUUGCCACAUUUCAGGCUUCAAACAUAAAGAUAUAAAACUGUAUUUUUUUGUGAAGAAUCAACAACAAGUUGGACACAAUCAUGAAGUGGAACGAUAUUUAUUGGAUAUUUCAAACUUUUUUAACUAAUCAAAAACUGAAAAAUUGGGCGUGCAAAAUUAGUCAUUAUGUGCUGUUUUUGAAUGAACAUUUCCAAAUGCUUUCCCAAGGAAAACUUUCAAAUGGAAGCUGCCAUAUGUAACUUUGUGCAACCAAACAAGUUCACAUAGAAAUGUGAAAACGUAUUGCAGAGGUUGAGAUUGUACAAAGACUAUACAAUUACUUAUUGUUUUGUCACAAACUGAAAUUAGGUGAACUUUGAAUUUUAGCAACCAGGAAAUGGUGGAGCUAUUUCUGUAUAGUGCAUCUUUAAAUGUUGACUACAAAUUAGGCCUACAUGAUAUAAUUAUGAUUGUAUCAAUCUGGAGGGCAUUUCUUUUGAAAACUCUGCAAUCACAUGUACUCUACUGUAGGCCUACAUUGUAGAGUACAGACACUGCGAGCCACAUGGUAUUUGGCUAGUUGCUUAAUUAUUUUAAAGGGCAACUAGACCCUCCCAAAAAUAGUAUUUUAUAUUUUUCCCAGACCUAAAAAAUGGUCUCCUUGUGCGGUAUAAGCAUUGAUGUGGGCUUAACAUGCAUUUGUUGUUUUUCUAUGAAAGAUUUUUCUGGCAAAAUGAUGGUGUACUCACUUCUCCAGGCACCGCUACACCAAUGGGUUUUCCUGUAUCUGUGAGUGAUUUGAUUUGGGACCUGAAUCUCCAACAGGCUUAGGCUGUUACGCAAUGGAUCAUCAUGUCUCACUCCCAUAGGCUGCUUCACUUGUCAAUCAUGUCUCUGCUAUCUUGCCCUGUAAUCUGUGAUAUCUCUCUCUCAAACACUCCUCUGUCUCUCAUCGUCAACUCUUUAUUUAAGAUAUUAAGCAAGCUCUACUUCUCUUAUCCUACAGUAUCUUCACCUGUCUGACAAAUCAAGCAAAUGAGAAAAUAAAACAAUCUGAAGAGAACCACACAGGGUUGAAUUGAUGAAAGCUGAAGUCAUUUAGUAAUUUAACUUGUUGACUUAUUGUAAUGAAUUGUAACAUUAUUUUAAAUGAAAUGAUUUAUUAAUGCAAAACAUUGAUGUCUUCUCGCCUUUGGUGUCUCCAACUCUAAUCUCAAUUACCCAGUUUCUAGUGCCCAAGAAUGGAAAGUGUGUGUGGGGGGGCACUUGACACCAGACUGUGUUUGUGUUUGUCCAUCGAUUAUUUCAUUGAUAAACACCCUGGUAGAUAUCAGGUGAUGAAGAGAUAAUAAUGUUGUUCCACUGAAGCCAAAU
ensembl:lncRNA